rnacentral:rRNA from 1 species
UACGAAGGUGGCAAGCGUUGUUCGGAUUUACUGGGCGUACAGGGAGCGUAGGCGGUUCGGUAAGCCCUCUGUGAAAUCUCCAGGCUUAACCUGGAACAGUCGGAGGGGACUGCUGGGCUAGAGGACGGGAGAGGAGCGCGGAAUUCCCGGUGUAGCGGUGAAAUGCGUAGAGAUCGGGAGGAAGGCCGGUGGCGAAGGCGGCAUCCUGGACCGGGAUUGACACUGAGGCGCGAAAGCCAGGGGAGCAAACGGG